CCUUUUCGGCUAGUGGAUGCAGACAGAAGCCGUUUUCUUCAUUUGAACCAGGGCCUUUCCUCUAGUCUACUUCUCUUUCUCCGCAGGAGCUACCAGUGGACCAGUUUCUAUGCAGUGGCAUCGCAUCCAUGCCUGUGGUCCAAGUCCUGUGCAACGAAGCUGCAAUGACCACUCCUUGGAUUCGAUGUACAAAAUGUCCUGGGACUAGUGCGAAAAGCACCCGUAAAAACACGGACGCCCAAAUGGUGGACCGGGUCAAGCAUUUUCAAAGCACUUGGAGUGGCAGAAUGGCAGGUUAUUGCCCCAUAAUCUAGGCUCCUUAGAACCACGCCUAUAAAUAUAUAUCUUUCGGCGUCUGAGGCACCGAUAGACUUUGCAUUGUGUCCAUCGUGUCGGCAGCGCGUGUCGCAUCGCGUGCCGCAUCGGCGUAAGAAAGUUGGACGAAUAAAAGGCAAGAGUAAGCAGGGUGAUCUUCGUCGCAGUUGGAACAGUGUGUAUCACAGGUGCACGUCUCGACUGCAUGUUCUUGAGACCUACAUUUUGCCGAUGACUGGCGGCCACGGCAGCUCUCUAGGCCAGCCACGCACGAUCGAGCCCAACACGGGAACGCUGCAGAAACCCGCAGGUGUCGCAGACACCCCCGCGUGUACUCGCUGGAUUCCGUGCCGACCGGUUGUGCCCUCGCGAUCUCUGACGACAGCGCAGCUCUGGCCGACUGGGCUGGUACUACACCACCUCCUGCCGCCGGUCCCCUACCACGACGUCAACGCAGCUCUGGCCGACUAGAUUAGCCCUACACCAUCUUUUGUCGCCGACAAGAGCUCUCGCAAGUGGUGCCCCGUCCUCGGACUCCUGUGAUCGUGUUUCUUCUUUCCUAUCUCUCUUAUGUCCUCGCUCGUUGUCCUUGCGCAUCUCUCUCUAUAUAUACCUUUAAUCCUGUCCUUUUAAUCUCUUCUUGCCCCCAUCCCUUGUGAGCUAUAGACUGUUAAGGUGUCGCACGCUGAUGCAGACAGUUACGGGGCUCAUUUUUUUUUCUUCUUUUCCUUCUUAUAAUCACAAUAUCACCCCCACGUGUAAUAUAGAUACGAAAAAAAUCACCAGGUUUUGAUGAUAUCUUGAAUGUUUUUCUUAGCAGAUAUGCAAUCUGGGUGUCAGAUUAUUUGAAUAAAAUAUAUGUAACCCGAUUAGAAA